rnacentral:rRNA from 1 species
CGGUCCAGACUCCUACGGGAGGCAGCAGUAGGGAAUCUUCCGCAAUGGGCGAAAUCCUGUCUAUCAACGCCGCGUGAGUGAUGAAGGUCUUCGGCUCUUUUUCCUCUUUGUUAGGAAGAACAUAUGUGUAAGUAACUGUGCACAUCUUGACGGUACCUAAUCAGAAAGCCACGGCUAACUACGUGCCAGCAGCCGCGGUAA